rnacentral:rRNA from 1 species
CCUACGGGAGGCUGCAGUGAGGAAUAUUGGUCAAUGGGCUUACGCCUGAACCAGCCAAGUCGCGUGAGGGAAGACUGCCCUAUGGGUUGUAAACCUCUUUUGUCAGGGAGCAAUUGGCGCUACGUGUAGCGUUAUCGAGAGUACCUGCGAAAAAGCAUCGGCUAACUCCGUGCCAGAAGCCGCGGUAAUACGGAGGAUGCGAGCGUUAUCCGGAUUUAUUGGGUUUAAAGGGUGCGUAGGCGGAAUGCCAAGUCAGCGGUAAAAUCGCGGGGCUCAACCUCGAGCCGACGUUGAAACUGGCGUUCUUGAGUGGGCGAGAAGUAUGCGGAAUGCGUGGUGUAGCGGUGAAAUGCAUAGAUAUCACGCAGAACUCCGAUUGCGAAGGCAGCAUACCGGAGCACAACUGACGCUGAAGCACGAAAGCGUGGGUAGCGAACAGGAUUAGAUACCCUUGUAGUC